GUUCUUAGUUCGUGGAGUGAUCGGUCUGCUUAAAUGCGUUUCACUAAGGGCCUAGAAAUUUACGUAUGUUGCGACACUUUGACCCCUCCUUGUGUGCGUGCGUCUUUGUUUGUUUAGCUCAUACAAAUAGGUCCUGAAAGCAACGAACGUGACCGCAACCUCUUGUUGCUUUCGUAUAUAUAUGAUACAUGUAUUUUAUUAUACUAGUAUAAUAUAUUAUACAUACUGCAUAUAUAAUAUUAUGUGUCAUUGUCACUAACUAAAAAUAUAAGACUUGUCUUUUUUUUUAUGUUGUGUAAUGUCUUUACAUAUUUUGUAUAUCUUUAUGCACAGAAAGCCUUUUAAACUAGAGGGACCGCUGUUACUUUCUUAAACCAGAGGAAGGUUGCGGCAAUAACAGGUCUGUGAUGCCCUUAGAUGUUCCGGGCUGCACACGUGCUACAAUGAUUAUUGCAGUGAGCAUCUCAUUUUAUUAUUCACACCGCAUGCGCGAGACCAUUUAUUCUCUCUUCGCGAGUGUUUUAAAUGUGUAUCUCUGCGCGCGGUAAAGCCUACUUCGAAAGUAAGCGGGUAAUCAAUUAGAAGUAAUGAUUUCCUAUAUUUUAUUGUAUCAUUUUUUUGGUAUAGUAAUUCUGCACACAUAUAUACGGCAUCUUUACCCGGGUAGCCUUGUUGUUACUUUUUGUGCGUAUCGAUGUUUUUUUCCGUAUGUGCGAUUGUCAAUUCAUGGUGGGGACAGACCAUUGUUAAUUGUUGGUCUCGGUCUUAACUAGGAAUGCCUUGUACGGGUCUUUGGUUCAACAAA
rnacentral:rRNA from 1 species